GCCUACUUAGCUCAGUUGGUAGAGCAAUCGGCUGUUAACCGAUCGGUCGUAGGUUCGAGCCCUACAGUAGGCGCCA
rnacentral:tRNA from 1 species